rnacentral:sRNA from 1 species
CAGCAAAUGCAACUAGCCAAUGCCAUGAUGCCUGGUGCCCCAUUACAACCAGUGCCAAUGUUUUCAGUUGCACCAAGCUUAGCCACCAAUGCAUCAGCAGCCUUUAAUCCCUAUCUGGGACCUGUUUCUCCAAGCCUGGUCCCGGCAGAGAUCUUGCCGACUGCACCAAUGUUGGUUACAGGGAAUCCGGGUGUCCCUGUACCUGCAGCUGCUGCAGCUGCUGCACAGAAAUUAAUGCGAACAGACAGACUUGAGGUAUGUCGAGAGUACCAACGUGGCAAUUGCAACAGAGGAGAAAAUGAUUGUCGGUUUGCUCAUCCUGCUGACAGCACAAUGAUUGACACCAAUGACAACACAGUCACUGUGUGCAUGGAUUACAUCAAAGGGAGAUGCUCUCGGGAAAAGUGCAAAUACUUUCAUCCCCCUGCACAUUUGCAAGCCAAGAUCAAGGCUGCCCAAUACCAGGUCAACCAGGCUGCAGCUGCACAGGCUGCAGCCACCGCAGCUGCCAUGGCUCAAUAUUGUGCAUGACACCCGCUACAAGUGUUG